rnacentral:rRNA from 1 species
AGUAACACGUGGAUAACCUACCUAUAAGACUGGGAUAACUUCGGGAAACCGGAGCUAAUACCGGAUAAUAUUUUGAACCGCAUGGUUCAAGAGUGAAAGACGGUCUUGCUGUCACUUAUAGAUGGAUCCGCGCUGCAUUAGCUAGUUGGUAAGGUAACGGCUUACCAAGGCAACGAUGCAUAGCCGACCUGAGAGGGUGAUCGGCCACACUGGAACUGAGACACGGUCCAG